rnacentral:tRNA from 1 species
UCGGGGAUCGUCUAACGGUAGGACGCAGGAUUCUGGUUCCUGCUAUUGGGGUUCGAAUCCCUAUCCCCGAA